UCUAGUUCGUUUUAGGAAAGCUGCACAACUUCUCAGAGCGUGGAGCAUGCACAUCAUUGUCUGAGCCAGUAACUUUUGUAAUGGAUACGUCUGUAGAACAUACAGGCAUAAAAUAUAGGGGCGGUUUAACUGGCAGCAGAGGCGUAAACCCGCCCCAGAGAAGCAGGGGGAGGAAGAGCCUCGGUAAGAGGAAGAAGUGGCAGCAGUUGGGCCAAGUUGGGAAGGGGUGGGUUGGAGUCCCUGGGUACCUUGGCCCCUGGGGGCCACCCCAACUCCCAAUGAGGACAAAUCACCCAACACAGAGCUCAAGGGACCACUGUGGAGGGCGGGCCUGUGCAACCCAGCAACCGCAUGUGACUGUUUCCUGAAGGUUUCGCAGGGAGACUGGCUCAGAGCACAGAAGCAGCACAACUCGGAACCAGGAUACCAGGAAACAGCAGGAAAACAGCAUGAACUCCCCAAGGCUGCAGAUGGCUCCAAGUUCUGGGUGGUGAAAUGCCAAGCGGAUGGCAGCGAGCAAUUAGGAAUUUAUGGAGCAUGCAGGAGAGGUGGGGAAAAUGUCCCCAUCUAGACAUGUGAUGGAGCCUCUGAGCUCAGCUGUGACCUAAAUGGGCAGCUGCAUUAGGCUGGCAUCAGGGAAGCAGAUGCUGGAUUUGGACACCCAUGCAGGGUGGACAGAGCAUGGACAUCAAGCUGUCUAAACCUGCCAUUCCUCAGAGUGGGACCUCAACCACCACGCCCUUCCAAGCCCCAGCCUUCUGAUCUAUAAAAUGGAACUGGAGGACCAUAACGAGAGAGGUGGCUCAGCAGUUAAGAGCACUGGCUGCUCUCCCAGAGAAUUCAGGCUUGAUUCCUAGUAACCCCAAGGUGGCUCACAUCUCCAGGGGGUCUGAACCCUCUUCUAGGUUCUGCAGGCAUGACACACACGCUCUCGAAUGAGCACGUGUGCACACACACACAAACACACAUACAUGCACGCACACACAUUCAUACACACACGCACAAACACACACACACACACACACACCAAGACCCAAUAAAUACCCAGUGGCACAGCACGCACUGGCCUCUGUAUAGCUUGUGUCAUUUUGCCAAAACUAACGCAGGCUUAAAUAAAAACUGAUUACAGAAGGAGCCCAAGAAAGACAUUUUUUUCAAGGAAUACAUGGCUUCUGAACCUCUCUGACAUAAACCGUGGAGGUCUCUGAAGUUGUUAUCUCAGUACAGACAGCUUGGCCAUGCUUACCACUGGUGAGCACUGCACCAGAUAGGCAGGCAGGGUAUGAGUGAGAGACUGCCAAGCACCCUCCUCUGUGAUACUCUACAGCCUCUCAGGGUAUCCUGAGAUCCCAGAUCAGGGUGCCUAGCUUAGAGCUCAGAUCCCAGCAUGGACACCACUGGUUAUCUAUAUCUGCCUUUCUCUUGGCUGAGGGCUCUUGGAAGGCCUUUAAGGUUUCUACAUCCCCAAGUCCCAAGCACAAGGUGUGUCUUAUAGUGGAUGGUCAAGAAAUCUCUGUUAGAACCUGAUGCAUUUGUUGGUGACAAACAUGCGCACCCAUCCACCUCUGGCUAACAUUAAAACGGCUGCUGGAGUUCACUGAGGCUUGUGCUGGAGGAAAUGUCCAGUGUAAAGUGUCUAAAACAGUCGUGGCUAGACACUGGCUUCCAGAGCCAGGGCUGUACUGAGGCAGCAGCAGCCAUGGUCGCCAUGUGGCUUCCUCAUGUCAAGUGGUAGUAGCAGAAGCAGCAGCAGUGAGCAGAUGCCUGAAGAGUCCCAGAGAGCAGCUGGGUCAGAAAUAACAGGAGCAGAGACAGAGGCAACAAAGACAGCCAAGAAUGGCGGAUGCAGAAAGAAGGUAAGAGAGGCAGAGAGCUGAAAAGCAUUCUGACCAGCCAGCUGCUGUCACAGCCAUCCAACUGGCUCACUACUAUCUGCUGAUGGCGUUCCAGUUGAGGCAUCUGGCCAUCAGAUAAGGGUCACCAAUGAUGGAGUCGAAACUGUUUCAGCUGCCAACAUCUCAGCUUAAAGAACACAUAGAUAUUAAAGGGAUGCUUAUCGCAGAGGCUAAUGGCUAACAUUGACGGAGUUUGAUGGUAUUUCAUAGUGCAAACACCCUCGGGGAGACUUAGGUUGGUUUAUCUGUCUCAGAUGGACAAAUGGCCUGAGGGAUGGAUUGAGGGUGGGUGGCCGGUAUACAGAUGGAGGCUACAGCUACCUGGGCAUCUCCUCCAUUCAUGUCCUGCUGUUCAGGGACCCAUUGACACUCAGCACCUCACUGUCUUCUGAGAGGCCCUAAAUCACUUGGGAAGAGUCACCCAAAGGAUGCUGUGACCAGCCACCCUAUCAGUCUUGCCCACACUGCCUGCUUUGUAGCUAAGGACACUGCGGACGUGCCAGGCCAGCUGCUGGCCCACAGGGUGCCAUGUUUGGAUAGCUCCCUGGUUCCUAGUAACAUUCUCUCCUGCCGCUCUGCCUCCUGGUUUGGCUUUAUCCAGCACAUGCUCUGGAUGUUGGCUCUACUGAGGUCUUGGUAGUAAAAUCUCUGCUUUUCUGUCUGCAUUUGCUUCCACCGAAAGCCUCAAAGGAAGGUCUGCCCAAUACCCCAUAAGGCACACAAGCCCAUCACUGCCUCCAGCCCUCCCUUCAUCCUCACCUGGCCUUCUGAUUCCAUCCAGACCCUAGUGGAGCACACAUCCCCUUUCGCUCUGAUCCCAACAUCCUUCAGACCGGCUCUCCUACAAUGCUUCCCCAAGCCUCCCUUUUUAGUGGUCCUUUGGCAAAAUGUUAGAAAUACAGAAAAAAAAAUCCAAAAAUCAGAAUGGAAAUUACCCAUCAAAAUUCUACACCCCAGAGCCGACCAUCUUUGCAUUCCCAGCCCUCCCAGCCCAUAUUUAAAGCAGGGCUACUGUCUUAGAUGCCCCAGGGAAGCAUGGGAGGAGGAGCCACUUUCCCUAUGUAGUGCUCAGGGGAGAGGCCUCUGUGGGUCUGAUGUCAGCCAUGGGGUUUUGAGCUGCCUGUUAUCAGAUGAGGCUGGUGGUCCCUGCUUUCUCAGGUUUUUGGUCUUUUCAAUCUUGAAAAGUUACCAGAUUUGGUUAAAUAUGAUGACUGUAUACUUUGUUUCAGGAGGUUAAUCUUUUUAGAUAUUAACCAUCCUCGCAUACCACAGAUUUUUGUGUGCUUACUAUUUUUCAGUGUCACUGGAUGCAGUUUGCUAGGUUUUAAAGGUAUUAUUAUUAUUAGCUGUUGUUGUUGUUGUUACUGUGUGGGCAUGCAUUCAUGCUGGGGCACAUGUGUGGAGGUCAAAAGACUAACUCUGCAGAGUUAGCUCUCUCCUUUGCAUUUUUACGUAGGUUCCAGGGAUUGAACUCAGGCCAUCAAGCUUGCAUGGCAAGCACCUUUACCUGCUGAGCCAUCUUGUUGGCCCAUCAAUUUUCUGGUUUCCUUAAGGAUUUUUUUUUUUCUAUUUUCAUAUGAAAUGUUGAUUCACUUUUCUUUCCAGGUGAUAUAUCUAAUGUUAAGCCUAACUCCUGGAAGUGAGUUGGGGAAAUUUCCUCUCCAGUUUUGGUUGGUGCUGGCUUCCUUUUCCGUUUUAGGACAGUCUGGGAAGGAGCGGCACUUCUUCAUGUGUCUGUUGAUUACCACAGUGAAGCCAUUCGGGUCUGGGCUUUUCUUGGGGGGUGGGAGAUAGAUUUGAUUGGAGGUGAUAAGAAUCUCUUACUUGUUAUAAGCCCACUGAGGUUUCCUCUUACUUUUGAUCCGUUUUGGUAAUUCCCAUCUUCCUAAAACUUUCCCCAUCUUUUGACCUAGCUUAUCUAAUUUAUUGUUCUACUCUUUUGUAAUUCUCUUCAUUUCUGAAAAAAUAAAAUAAAACAAAAAAACCAAACCACCUGGUAGUAAUGUCCCCUCUCUUAUUCCUGGUUCUACUAUUUUUAAGUUUUCUCUAUUUUGUUUUUCUUUUCUUUUUUUUUUCCCAUUUAACUUUUUUGUCAUUAACAUUUUGUCAGCUUUGUUGAUGGUUUCAAAUAGCCAAUUUUGGAUUUCUUUUCCCUCUUUCUCUUUGGUUUCAUUAUUUUCUGACAGAAUCUUACUGUUUCCCUCCUCUUCCUCCUUUAGGUUUGGCUUGUUCUUUGCCCAGUGUCUUAAGAUAGAAUUUCAGCCAUGAGUCUCUGGUAAGUCUCUGUAAGUGACAAGGAGAGAGAUGAGAGACACAGGAACAUAGACCUACUAAGGCUCAGGCUCCAUGUCGGCGUGGCUCUGAAGCCCUGUGGCUCAUUCAACAACCCUGUAGAUGCCUCAGCAUCUCCCUCCCUUACAAAGUCAGCAGCCUCCUCAAGAGUCUCUCCACACUUCCUGGCUCCUAUGACUGUUAGCUCGGACCUGUCACAGGUGACAUGACUCUCAACAUUCCCAGUUCUGCUCUCUUGAGGUAGGACCCUUCCCAAUUAGGCCUUCCCCCUCCUAGUCCCAAGAUGGCUGCUAAGAUGUCAAGCUGGUAGAGUCUCCUCCCCAGAGGUGGUUGUCUCACCAAAUGGCUGCCUCACACAGGAGACUUGCCUGUCCCGGAACCAACCGCCAUGGGCUAGGAAAUAGCAAAAUGGGAAGGCUAAUUCUGUUACACGAUGGAGCUCUGAGCAGCCUGGGUGAAGGCUCCCAGGGACACACAGGCUGGGAGCAGAGAAGAGAUGCCCUUUUGAUGUCAGGCACUGUUGUGGGAAAGGGCUGACUGUACAGCAAGGUCAUGGCCUGCUGGGGCCUGUCCUUAGUGUCUGUGCACAGCUUCUAACACGUGCCCAGUGUGCCCUCCCCCUCCUUGCUCAUGCUCCGGGAUGUGCUUGGACACUUCAAACUCCAGCAGCCCAAAUGCUCCCCACACUCCUCCAUUGCUUGGCUCUACCAGGCCCAAAGUGUCAGAACCCAGUGUGGCUGAGAUGAACAGCCGCUUGCCUCGUGUGGAUCAGCCUAUCCACGAGAGGCUGAGGGCUCCCAGCCUCUCCCUACUCUUUACUGCCAUCACUCUUGUCCUGUUGUGACUGUCAGAUGGGUGCUGCAGCCUCGAGUGGUAUGACCCAUCCCGGAAACAAGAAGGAAGACUGUGUCUGGGAACCAUCCAGAACAUUCUGUCUUGUCAGCCAUCAGUGAGCUUGACCACCAACGUUGGCUGCAGACAACACUGAGGAAGACAAAGAGAAUUUAUGUCUUAUUAAGAGCAACUCUGAGCCCCACGCAUCCCUGGGGCUGAAAAUAAGCCAGAAGGGGUGGGGAAACCCCAGGAAGGCCAAGCCAGGGCCGCACUUUCUAGAGACAGGGGUGACUUCUGGAAUGCUCCCAACUUUUGCCUGCCACUGCCCUUGUCUUGGACUGAGACAGCACAGCAAGGGACAGCCCCACAGGCUGGGGUUUUCCCCAGGGUCCCCCAGAGAAGCACAGAUGUGGAAAGGCAGGCUGCUCAUCCAAGUCUAAAAACUCAGCCAUAUGGAGCUGGGAAGAUCCUUCCCGUCGCUUUGAAUGUACGGCGCCGUCCGCAACAACCAACCUCAAGUGCCCUGAGACUCUGACAGCUUCCACCCAGGCCCACACACCAGGCCCAAAUCACCGCACAAGUUAAACAGGCUGUUAAAAUUAAGCAGAAUGAACCAAAUGUGCAGGGGUGUGGGACACAGCGAGAAGGCUGCCUUCUGUACUCAGGGGGCGGUGGCCUCCGAGAAGCCAGCCCCGCCCACACCUUGAUCUAGGACUGCCAAGCUCCAAAACUGUCAGGAAAUCAAUUUCAAUUUUUAAAGCCAACGGUCUGUGGCAUUUUGUUAGAGGUAUCCAUGCACACAAAUACAUCAGCUGUUCCUAUCUGUGCACCCCCCCCCCACAAAAAAACAUCACUCACUCCAUGUUUACCUGCCGCGUAGUAGGACUCAUUUCCAAAGCGCGUUUCAGUUUCAAAGGUUCCCAUUUCUCUUCCCACCUCCAUGACAAUAAAAAAGUGGUUCCUUUUUUUUUUACCGCUAAGACCCAGAUGAAACCUGCCUGAGUUUCUCCCUCAAGCACCAACACAGAAUCCUAACUCUUCCUAGCAGACUCCCCAGAGGCCUGGCACUGUCUCCCUGACCACCACGGCAUCUCCACAGAGAAACUCGACACAGGGGAGGUGCCUGGAGAAAACUGUGCCAUAGAAGAGGAUGGUCCAGUGUGUUUGUGGACCCUCCCCUGCUCUCUUGCAAGGUACAGUUACAUGCGAAGUCUACCCUCCUGUUAAAAUAGGACAGCAAAGUCCACCCCUAGGUCCUGCUAUCCAUCUGGUUCCCAGGCAGGAAUGGAAAGCAGCUGUAAUCUGCAUCUACACACACACACACACACACACACACACACACACACACACACACACACACACACGAGUCUUCCCAGGCAGCGGCCCACCUCACAGCAAGGUUGGUCAAGGGCUGCUACCUAGUGCAGGGCUCUUCUCAAUGUCCCCACUCCUGAAAUGACACCCAUAGUCUAUCCCUUCUGAGUACAAUGCCUCCUGUCCUAAAACUCAACAGCCUUGGAGGCUCUAGGAAUGGCCAGUCAUCCCACUGAGAACACAGGGAGGCGGACUCAUGAGUUUUAACAAACACUUUGGUGUCCUAAUGUGUUCUAGGAGUGGGGGAGGACACUGGAGAAGAUGGAGCAAACAUGUGAGAUGAAUCCUGCCCUGGAGCAGCUCACGAGUGAUGAACUCUGGGCUCUCUGUGAUGCUCACCAUGGCUCUGGGCUCUCACAGGCCCACAGCUGCUGGGCCAUGCAACCCUGCAUGGAAACCAGGAUAAACCAGAAUAAACCUUUUCCUUCUUUUAAUUUGACUUGUCUCAGAUAUAGGACAUAGUUCCAGAAAGCUGGCUUACAGACCCCUGAAAUACUGCUAUCCCCAGAACAAGUCUGAGCUAGGCUGAAGGAUAAGGCCAGACGGAGAAGCACUGGGGUGGUCCUACCACAGCCUCCAACUGCUGAGCUGGUGGGUAAAGCCAUCUGCAACCAGCAAGCACCUUCACAGCCUGCCCUACUCACAGGCCAGCCACUACAACAGACCUCAAAGGUCCAGCCAAGGACAACAGACACCUGUCAGGUGGAGCCCUCACAGACCAACAACCCCCAACCAUUCACUGAGUCACGGCAACAGAACAUUAGCAAAGAUGCUCGUUGACACUCUGCCCACUCAAGACCUAGUGAGUGCCACCGUAGUGACAGCCUCACCUGACCCCAUGCAUCGCCAGCAUUUCCACAUGAUGAAGGAGAAAGACACAGAUGUAGACUGAGCGUGUGUCACACCGGGGCCACUGAAAACCAGUCCCAUCAGUGCUACACCCGACUGCUACAUGUGGUCCUCUGGAGCUGUCUCGCUCUCCUUCCAGACAACAAAGAAGUACUGAGAGAUCACACAGUACCCCACACGUGGGUCAAAUAAUCAUAACAGUGAUGAAUAAAAACAAAAUACAGAUGCUGGCCACAUGCUCUUGGUAGGAAUAUACAUUAGUGUGGCCAGUAGAAGGUGAGGGGGGCAUCCACAAGACACUAGAAACAGAACUACUACAUGACCCAUCUGUAGACCAUCCCUAGGUAUGUCCCUGCAAAAGAAGAAACCAGUACAGCAGAGAGAGACUCAUAGCAAGCUCUUGUUCACUGAGUAGAAUGGAUGGACAAAGAAGAUAUAGUGAAUAUUACCCAGCCAUGAAAAGGGACGAAACGGUACCAUCUGCGGCAAUGUGGAUGGAACUGUGGGACGCCGUGUUAGAUGAACUGAGCCAGGCACAGACAGCCAUGUAUUGAAUGCUCCCCCUCACAUGUGGAAGCCAGGAAGCUUACUCCACAAAAAUCACUGGAUGGUAUCACGAGAAGCAAGCAGGGGAUGCAGAGAGCAAGGGAGAGGAGUCAGCAGCAAGGUUCUUCAGCACCUAGACUAUCUUAUAAAGUCGCACAGGAGAACAGUCAUGACUGUAGUGUCUCUAGGUCUGGACCCAGUGCUGCGAGGCAGAGGAAAGUGGAGCGUGAUGGAAGGCAAAUGCCCACAGUCAGCGGCCUGUGAACAGCCCGGGAAACUGGCCUGCUUUGAGGAGGGAACUUCAGCCAAAGGCUAUGGAUGGCCAACAACACAGUUUCUUCAUUUCCUCCACCUUCCACAAACUCCACCCCCCUAGUCCGAUUUCACUUUCCUCUGCUAUGAUAACCAUCAUGACCAAAGGCUACUUGAGCAAAAGUGGGUUUAUCUUAGCUCACAACUCUCAGGCCACCCUCCAUCACUGAGGGAAGCCAGGGCAGGAGCCUGGAAGCAGGAACCGAAAGCAAAGGCCAUGGAGGGGUGCUGCUUACUGGCUUGCUCCGCAUGGCUUGCUCAGUUUACUUUCUUAUACCAUCCAGAACCACCUACCCUGGGAGACGCACCAGGGUGGGCAGGGACCAGUUAGUGACCAAGAAAACACCUCCAAAGACUUGCUUAUAGGCCAAUACUAGGAAGGUAUUUCUCAAGUGAGGUUCCCUCUUCCCUGGUGACCCAGUUUUUAUUGACAGCGAACCAGCACACCCUUUAACUCUCCAGAAGUCUCCUGCAAGUCCCCUUGCCUGCGAUUAUAAAGACAUUCCAUGCUCAAAUCUGUGCUUUCCCAACUUUUAGGUCCUCCUCUUCUUUCUUCCAUUUCCUUCUGUAUUUCAUCCCUCUCUCCCUCCCACCCUUUCCUUCCUUCCCUGUCUCUUCCUUCCCUCCUGCUUGCUUUCCCUUCCUCUCUUCCUGCAUGCUGAGAAUGCUAAGAUCAAACAUAAAGAAUCUAAUGUGGACCUCACCUCUCUCUCUUCGCUGAGGCCACAAGGAUUUGGUAAAUGAGACUAGAACCGGGCGGCCAGCAGCACCAAGGGAUUGGUAGGCCUGGCAGGAGAGCCUGUGGCACCUGGCUCUUUAUGAAGCCCUCAGACACACAGAGCACAGUGUUUCACCCAUGAGCAUUCCGGGCCCGCCCCGCCCCGCCCCCACACUAACAUGGCUCUGAGAACUGAAAAGAGCCUCCUCCCAACAGGAACCUUGGAUGACUCUAAAAUGUGGGUCAAGGGUCAUCUUGUAAUCUCAGCUGUGAAAACUUGCACCACUAAAGACCAUUUUACCUCUUUACACAAAGACAUCAAGAGCCUGGGUCACUGGCAUGGUCAGAGUGCCCCUGGGAUUGCGAGCCGAACCUAAAGGUGCCGACAGACUGUGGUGGACAAGGCUUCCAUUCACAAAGGGGCUUAUUUUGCUACCUGCCCUCUCAGACUCCAUCAGCAAACAAAGCCAGAUUUGUAUCUGCAGAACAUUCUUAGAGCCACUGGGGGAAUUUAUCCCUUAAGCGGUCGGAAAAACCAACCUCAGCACGGCGGCAGCCUCCACUCUUCUCAUCAGAAAAAUCUCUGCCAUUCCAACAGUCUUUAAAAAAAAGAAAAUUGCCCAGAAGGGAUGCCCUACUUAAAAGCAAGACGGUUUGCUGUGCUAAUGCACCAGCAGGAAAAAUAACAGCUUCCGAUGAGGGGAAGGAACUUGUGGAAAUUCUUAAAAUAGGCAAAAGAAUACGGAGGUGCUUCUAAAUGGAGGUAAGGGAUUAAAAAUAGCAGCGCUGCUGGACUGUGCACAGUAGGGCCAAAGUUCUCAGGGUUGGGGGUGGGGUGGGUAACAACAGGUGUUACAGCAAAGCCUAUGUCUUCCCUCCCGUGGCGAGUAGACAGAGUGAACCAUGGCUGCUUUCUUCACAAAUGUUAUGUGGUUGGCUGGCCAUUCUGGGCUAUGAGAGCCCACUCUCCAUUUCUCCUACUGAUUCACUUCAGAUCCACUCCACUGAGUGUUCCCAAAUGACUUGGGGACCUGUAGGCUCAGAGCAGCCCAGCAUUUCCUGAGCAGGGACUAAGUGCCCAGGAGACAUGUGCCCACUGGGCCCCUGAGUGGUGCAGGCUCUCCUGUCAAGCAGUGGGACUCUGUAGAUCCUCCCCUCUCUCCAUGUCCGUCACCAUCAGGCAGGGACAACCUCAGUCUUCUUCGACUCCACCGCUUCUGGGAUGGCCUUCCUUGCCUCUCAUGUCACGCCCAAUGUCCCCAGCCAGCCAGCAGUGAAGCAGUGAAGACACAGAUCUGUGGCUUCAACUCUGCCUGGCUUUCCAUUUGGCACCUCUGCCCUGUCUUUCCUUCUAGAAGACAGACAAACGCUCCUGAGGACACUGGGUGAAAGGGCAAGGGCUGAGAUCCAGCACCAACCAGCCUUUGGGGCAAUGCCAACCAUGGCUUCACAGGAUCCCUCCUCUCCCUAGCCUUUGCCACAUGGCAGCUCUACACACACACACACACACACACCCUCCCUGGAAGAGUGCCCAUGGCCUCCCUCCCUCCACCUGCUCUAUGCCUGGUGAGUGGAAAUGACCACACUAAGUGACCUGUGAGUAGGAGCCUGGGCGACACAGAGGAAAAGCAGAGAAGGCCGGGGCAAGCCUAAGCAGCCAGUGCCCAUCAUGCAACUCAUGUGCCAGAGCUGGGCCACCCUGAUCCUCAUGGAGGUGAUGUCACCAGAAAGUAUGGCAGAAGAGCCUAUGUGAAGAUACCCUAGGCCCGUGUCAGCUAAGCAAAUAAGGUGGAGCGGUGACGCCUAGCCCCAAGUGGCAUACGUUCAGAAUUGGUACAGGGAAAUGGAGACGUUGACAUAAUCUGAAAGCAGAUGACCUGAUCGCAGGACGUGCAAACUGGGAAGCAAGAAAGAGGCAAAGACCUGGCUUACAGCCUGCCUGGGGAGAAGCAGCAGCCAGGCUGACCUCCGAGAACAAAAUGUCUACCAGUAGGAAGAGGUGGACAUGGUGACGAUGUGCAAGUUCUUCAUCUCUGCAUCUAGCUAGCUCCAGAUGGCUGGGAGGGAUCCUUAUCCUGGAUAGCCACGUGCCUGCCCAGUGUGAGGCGGGUGCUAUGGGGUGGCAGGAGGAAGAAGGACUGUGGCGUCUGAAUUAGCUUCUAGCAAGUGGCUUCUUCCCCAGAUAGAUUUGCAUAGGUGGGAGGAAGUGUUUCAGGUUGGUACUGGCACUACUCCAGACAGAGAGAGAAGGCAGAGGGAGGAGGAACCAAGGUGGUCGGGGAAAGGAGGCACAGAGGUCCCUCGGGACAGCCCAACUCUGGGGAGCUGGAGAAGAGCUGUGAGCGACUGGGCUCAUGCUUAUCACAGAGCCACCAGUGAGCCUGGUUUGCAAACACCGCCCUUGCCAGCCCAUGGCCCAUGCACCCCCCUCACAGCCCCGCCCUACACUCCACAGCGCCACAGAAAAAAUCUUGAGGAUGGUGGGGUUGGCACUGGGUUUUAGCCUGGCCUUCACGAGAGGUUAGAGAUGGAGGAGAGGGAGGGCUUGUCUAACAAGGCCAUGGCAGGGCUUGGGAUCUGGAGUCUCAGCCAUGUGGCUAUCUACAAAUACUGACAGCAAUGGAGAGGUUCAACACUUGCCCAAACCUAAGGCUUAAAGCUAGACGCCAGCCAGCCAUCAGGUGCUAGAGGCUCCCUCCAAUGGUGUCACAGUGGCCUCAGAGAACAAAGCAUGAAGGAACAACCUAGAGACCAAGUGCAUGGAACAGGAGGAGACCAUCAUUCUGGAGAAGAGAGCGCGGUUGGGUCUGGCUCAGCCCCAUCCACUUAGCAUCUUCUCCAGGCAGAUGAAGAGAGGCACUUCUGCCUGGAGCCAGCAGGUCAGGGCAGCGCUGGGUAAUCCUGUAAUUACAGAGUGCACUCCAGCCUCUGUCACAAGAAGCGCACAAGCACUGUAGGGGCGUCUCCAUCACCAAAUGAGCAUUGUCCUCUGGACAGCGGGACUCCCACCCAGUGUGCUUGCCAUUCCUGACUCUCUCUCUCCUGAUUCAAAGUUGCACUUUGUAGGGACUGAGGGCCACUUGGUGAAAGGAACAAAAAGGUUGACUCCAGGGCAAGGAGCAACCAUGGAUGCCCAGUGCAGGAGAAUAUAGGACCUCUUGACCCCAACUGUGGCCCUGCCCAUCAGAGGGAACUUGCCAAGGAACUAGGAGCUGAAGUUGCCAGCAUCUGGAGUCUGAGUGGGGCAGCUUGUCACCUGGGGCGGUAUGGGUGAUGCUUUUUCCCACUUUCCCCAGAACAGACACAGAUCUUUAAUCAAUAUGCUACAUUUGAUGUGUGAAUAAUCUCGGUGAAUUCCCUUCCCUUUUCUCCUUGCCCUAUGAAGUAAUCUAUCCCAACCCCAAAGUGUAAGAAUUAAGAAAACGUUACCUGUAAGUGUUGCACAUAUAAUAUUAAAUAAAAAUCCACUCUAUAUCGCCAGCUCCGUUCUGGUGACAUGGUUACCCCUCCCCCAAUGGGAGCUACAAGCCCAGUUCUUCCCUGUUCCCUGCAGUUCCGUUUGCCUGCCUCUGAACCACUCCCUAUCUUCCUAUCCAUCCUCUCUGCCCUUCCUCUCUGUCCCCUGUCCUCUGUCCCUGAAACUCUCAACCUCACCUUACAUUUUCAUUGUCCAAUUACAGACUCUGGUCUUAAAUCACACCUGCCCUCACCUGCAGACCGACUGCAAUCCACAUGGUAAGGACAGAGUUGGCUAUGAUUCAUAAAAGUAAUAACUUUUACUUUCCUGCUGUAAUUGUCAUCUUACUGCCUCUGUCUGCUAACCUAGGCCUAGUCCUGGAAGCUUCUAGCUGCCACACAAUCUAAUCUAGGCCUAGGAUGUUUUCAGCCUCUGGGACUUACUGCUGAAUAAGCUCACUCCUUCCUAGUUCUUUCUGAGCUCUGACUGGCUGGUUCAACCUAGCUGUUCUGGCUCAAACUCCUCUCCAAGAUGACUGAGUCAAUCUGGCUUUUCUCAGUUUCUCCUGAACUGCUCUGCCUGGCCUCAUACUAACGUUGGCAAUCUACUCUAAUCUUCUGGCUUCUCAUUCUCUGGCUCGUUCUGUCUUCACUGGUGUCUAGCUGGCUCUCUUUCUACAACUGUCUCUGUAAAACUCUCCCAGGAAAACUGCUUUCUCCUCUCUGCACUGCCCCUCAAGUAGCUUCCCUUCCCUCUCUCUUCUCACGGAGAAUUGGGCGUAUCCUAGUCUGUCAAAUCUUUCUCUGAUUCACCAAUUUGUCUGCCACUCAAUUAGACACCACUUUCAAGCACCGCUGCUUCCUUCUACAAACUAACUUUACCUUCGCAUUGUUUGGGAUUAAAGGUGUGCACUAAGGGUGUGUUUGCAUUCCAGCCAGAGGGAUUAAAAGUGUGUGCUAAGGGUUGAAUCACACCACAACUAGAAACAGGUUUUUUUUUGUUUUGUUUUGUUUUGUUGUUUGUUUUCUUUUUAAAUAGUGAAUAACACAGUUUCAAGUUUCAACGUGUGAUCAAAUAUCCUGCAACAAUGAUUGGUGGUGUGUUCAGGAGAGUAACUAACACAGACUUUGAAGAACCUGGGAAAACCUGGCAGUGUCUGUGUGUGGGUGUGGGUGAGUAUGGGUGUAUAUGCACACGUGCACAAAUGUGUAGGGGGCAGAGGUCCACCUCAGAAGCCCAGUGUGAAUAGGGCCAGGCUGACUUCUGCCUGUCUCUGAUUCCCCCACACUAGAAAUACUGGUGUGCGUCCACUACACUGCUCCAAGUUUUUUACAUAGGUUCUGAGACGUCUCCCCAGCCUGCUAGAUGCCGUGUAACCUUGUAUCUCUGGCAAAGCCACAACAGUAGCCACCACAGUGUUCCCCUCUGGAUUGGUGCAGAUAUUAAAGAGGUCAGGUAUGGACAGGGUCUAGUCCAGUCUCUGAACCUUACUUGGUCCUUCACAAAAACUGAGAUCCACGGUGUAUAACACGGUGUUUUCAUGUCUGUAAAUAUGUCUGGGUAAGUAAGACCGUCCUUGAGGUGGCCAAAGGGGAUAAUGAUUCAUUGAACCCAAGAUUCCAGAUGGCCAUAUUAAAAAAGCAUGUUUGCAUGUUCACACUGUAACAAGAAUGCUCCCCUCUUCCUUGGGGAUUGGAGCAUUUGCCAUUUAUAAAGAUAUAAUCAGCUUUUGCUGUAACAACUAUCCCAAGGACAACUCUCUCCUUCCUCGGGGUCCCCUCAGAAUUUUAACCAGCGUUCAGAAGCAGGUUGGGCCAGUUUGCCAGCUUGUGGCCAGCAGACACCAAUAAUUUUGUUGCCUGGGCACCUGCAGAUCCAGCCUUCCAGACAGUGAGGCCUCUCAGGCAGAAUGUCCCAGCAGGUGUUCUGGGGAUGGGAGGAUAUCCCAGGGGAUAGAAGGACAACAAGCAGAAUAGAAAAGCAAGCUAACAAAUGCCAAGUCACAAGGGCAGACACGGGCCCUGCGGGAAUCGGGCCCCUGGACUCCAGGGGCAGGCGGCCGAGGCUCAGUGUAGCAAAGAAACAGGUGCACAGGCUAUUCCUGUGGCCAGUGGGACAGGCAUGGAGAUCCAGCCUCCUUGUUCUUUUCUUUUCUUCUCUUUUCUUUUCUUCUUUCCCCUCUUUCACCCUUUACAGGGAGGAGGCAUGCUAUGCAAGGGGCAGCCCAGAUUGCAACGAGGAAAGGGAAAAAAGCUUUGGGGUCGGGGUGGGCUAGGCCCAACAUGAUUUGAGGUACUCUCUCUUCCUUACAGCAAGCGGAUGGUUCUAUGUGAGCCAUAGCAUUUUGGGGUCACUUGGACCAUGAAAGGCAAAAGUUUGCCAAGCAGCCGCUCCUGUGAUUAGGAUCUGGAGAUGCCUGGCUACCAGCUGGCACAGUCCUCUGCCCUAAACCACAUUGUCCUCCCACCACUCUGAGUGGUUACGAUACUUUCUCCAGGACCAUGACGUCCUCUCCAAGGUCCAUCAACUACAAGGAUAAAUCUGUCUCUAGUGGAGCAUUCAGGGACAGUGCUGUCCCAACUGGUCAGAGAUGGUUGUGAAAUGUUUCCAAGAGCGACACUAUCAGAGGCAGGCUGUCCCCAGCUCCAAAGUGAGUUUACCAAUUGAAUUUGGCUCCAGGAGGUGGUGGCGGGCCAGGUGGACAGUUACCUGAGUUAUCUGUGAAAGCAUGGCAGGACCCCCGGACCUGUCUGUCCUCUCUUACAGCACACAGUAUAGGAAGUGGCCAAGCCACAAAUGCUAGUGGUUCUCCUGCUUUCUCUCCUUCAUGCCUCCUGCCUGGAACCUUCUUUUUUUUUUUUUUUUUUUUUUCUGAAUGCACUUCCCCACCCCCAAAUCCUUGCUCCCAGUAGCGGUCAACUCUCCAGCCCUGCUCCUACAUCCAUCGCAUCCAUCACAAGGCAGAUGCUGACAUCCGAAAGCCAGCUCAGCUGAAGCCAGGACGUUGGCUUGCUGUCUCUAACUGGAGCAAAGGCAAGUGAGCUGGGAGCUGCCUGCAUGGCAACUUCUGUGGGGGGGAAGAUUGUGAAAACCACCCACAGCCUAGGCAAGGGCAGCCAACUUGGCCAUUCCUGGCCCAGUCCACUACUUCCCUUCCCCCACUGAAGACUGCAGGCCCUCUGUGUUUUACUGUGAACUGGGGCACUGUCACUACUCCACCAACAAAGCCUGCAAAGGCUGAGGCUGGACAUGAACAGUGGACUUUCAGUCCCUGGUCCCCUCCUGGAGUGACUGAACCGCUCACUAUACAACAACUUGUUAGAAAGUAUAAAGAGCGCUCAGUGCUGGUAGCGGUUAGCUCUGGGGGAAUUAAUGAUUAAUGAGGACAGCAAUGCUCCACGCACCACACACCUGCACACUUGCACACCCGGGCACACUCUCCUCCAAGAGCUGGCAGGAACAAUCACCAACCAGCCUAUGCACCACUGCCCACUUUGAAAACACACAACUUGGUGUAGCUGCACAGAAGCUAGGGCAUUAAAGUCACUCCUUCUGCACUGUUAAUAGGAAUCCCUCUGGAUUGCACCCACCUUGUUGAGAGAGCUACAACUGGGUAACCCCAGAGCCACGGUGGGAGCACAGUUCAUACCCACCAGGACCCCUUGGGAGACAAGAGGCCCAUGGAGCAGACAGGGUCCUACUCUCUAGCACCGUAUGGCUUGGAACUCAUAGAUAUUUACCUGUCUGCAUCCUAAGUGCCGCCAUACCCAGAAUAACAUUGGAUUUAUACAAUCAAGAAAAGGGAAUCAACAGCAAAGGAUUGGUGAGCUGCAGAAAUUCUCAUGGAUUGUUGUCUUCUCACACAGCAGAAGACGUCAGGGACCCCUUUCAUUCUGAGCACAGCAAGGAAGUCACUAGCAGUCCUUGCCUGUGUUGUGCACACAGAAACCUCCAGAACAGGACAUCUCUAGAUCUCUAGACGCAACCAACUCGAACAAGAAAUUGCCUGUGGCAGGCUCUUCUGUAACUACCAGGACCUGGCGAGGGGACAAUUUGAGAAAAAGUGUCAUCUUUCUACCCACUCAAGAGCUUUCAUGUGGCCUGCAAUGCCCUGAGGCUUGAAGACAUUGGUCACGCUGGAAAUCCCAGUGAAGAAGGGGAAAGAACACACUAGAAGGCAGCCAGAACACAAGCACUUCUACCACAGAAACUUCAGUGAAUGUGACUAGACUUCUCACAGUCCUCAGGAUCCCGACUGGUGUAAACCUCUAUUAUAAGUCUUUUGUGGUGGAAGAAAAGUGGAGACCAGGAAUACAAGUUGUGCUUAGAGAAAAACGACAGAGCGGGUGUAAGACUUGGCAUGUGAAGUCAGGUGAAAUGAAGCUGAGUAAUUUGGGCCUCAGAAACUAGUAGUGCUGGCCAGCUGGGUCACUUCCUGGUAAGUUUCUUCACCUCAAUGACCUGCUUUCUCACCUGAAGCAGGGGAAACCCCUAGCCAAGACUAUGACUGUGGUACCUGUGGCUUAGCUCCACUAAACUGCAAGUGUCAAACUUGACACAAGAAAAAGAGCCUUGGCAUAUGAAAUUUUUAAUCUGAAUUUUAGACAAUGUUGAUUACACAUUGCAAACCUAGAUGUCCUCUGCUGGGCAUGUGAGGUAUAAGAUGUUGAUGGGACAGGGUACUUUCUGCUCUAGGACAGUGAGAGGAUGUGUCUCUUUCUGCUGGGACAGGGGGUGCUUGAGCGGCAGCAGGCUUGUGCAUCUGGAAUUGGAGCUCUGAGACUGAAGUCAGCCCAGAAACAGUCCCUGGAGCUGAGAGGGCAUCACCCUUGACUGAGGGAUGGCAGCAGAGGUGUGGCUGGGCAGUGCAGACACUGCUCCUGUCAGCAGGGGACUUGGCCCGUGAGCACAUUUACAAUAUUUGCAUUGCUAACCAAUAUCUAACAACCAUGACAUCUCACCCAGUAAUGCUAGUUAUUGAGUCCUAGCUAGAUUCUCUCUUGCAUUGACAGCAGGUCACAGGUCAGAGCUGCCUCUGGGGAUUGAUUGUUGUCUGCUAGAGAGCCUUGGCUCCCUCCAUGGUCCUUCCUUUAAAAGACAAAUGCCAAACAGAGCACAUCACUCAUUGUAAGCCAUUUGUACCUCUCCUUACUUCCCACCCCUCAUCCAGGUUCCCUUGAAAAUAUCCAACUCGGAUUUCCAGGUUGUUUGACUGGGUGGUGCUUUCCUGAGUCACUUACAUGGAGGAAGGGAGGAGGCUUGGGAAGCAGGGGUCAAGUUCAAUGUGGGCUUCUGAAAAACAUUGUUGGUUUCUCUGGGGGAAGCCAACCCGGAAGGCCGGACGAGAUAUACAGUAGGUCAGAGUGGAGGUGAAGGUUUAGGAGUUGCCAUUUGUGAGCAGUGAUGUCAUGAGCAGGCUUUACACAGGGAAUGUGAUCUGGAAGGACGAUGUGUCCUGGGGCGCUUCCUGUGAGAAAGAGAAAAAAAAUGGGAAAGAGUGAUAUAGAAGUGAUAGAUACAGGAGUCACAGGAGCAGGAUUCACAUUCUAAAGUCAUUGCAUGCUCCCAGAAAGAGCCUGAAACUCCCCAGAAGCAAAACAAAAAGCAUUGAGAGUUAUACACUAGGGCCAGCAUCACUGCGAAGUUGGAGAGAACCCACUUCACAGAUGAGUAAGGAGAGACAUCAAUUUGCAUUGACUUACAAAGUGAUUGGAAGCAAGUGUAGACAGUCCUUUCCAGGCUUCUGCAAAGAAGAGGCAACACAGGGAAGAAUGAAGCCACUGGACCCUAGAGCCUGGCCACUAGGACUAAGAUCCUAGCUCUGCUGGCCUGGGACUCCGUGAUCACAAUCAAGUGCAUGGCUCACUUCCUGUCCCUAUACAAGGUCUGUUUUGUGGAAAGAAAUGGAACACUCAGGCUGAGUACUAAGCACAGUGCCUACUGCAGGGUAGGUGAGGUGAAAAGAACUCCAUUAGGCUCGUAGGCACAGUGGAGAGGCAGGGAGAGCUGUCCAGCUGGUGCUGUUAGAAUCAGAAAGCGACAAGAAGUACAGUGAGUGGGGUGACUCCAAGCAAUGUGUGUGGUGCGUGUCUUAAAAACACUGGAAAUAUCCUGCACGUUUCAUAAUAAAGAAUUGAUAAAGGUUUGCAGCUA